rnacentral:snRNA from 1 species
AUACUACACUGGGCGGGGAGAUACCGGAUCAAGGAAGGCGGAGCAUCCAGGACGAGGCCUGAUACAUUGCACUCCGUAUGGGCUGACUCCUGCGACUAGCCCCAAAUCGGGGUGGCUCGAGCGCAUAAUUUUGGUAAGUGGGGACAAGCGUUCGGCGCUGUCCCUU